rnacentral:rRNA from 1 species
UACAGAGGUCUCAAGCGUUGUUCGGAUUCAUUGGGCGUAAAGGGUGCGUAGGCGGCGCGGUAAGUCGGGUGUGAAAUCUCGGGGCUUAACUCCGAAACUGCAUUCGAUACUGCCGUGCUUGAGGACUGGAGAGGAGACUGGAAUUCCUGGUGUAGCGGUGAAAUGCGCAGAUAUCAGGAGGAACACCAGCGGCGAAGGCGGCGCUCUGGGCCGGUACUGACGCUGAGGAGCGAAAGCGUGGGGUAGCAAACAGG